rnacentral:lncRNA from 1 species
CCUGGAGUGGCAUCCCACCUCGCACUUCUGUGGGACCCUCAGACACAGCUGUCACCGUUGCUGAAUGAAUGUCCCUGGCCACACCGGCAGCUGGAUCAUGGCCACACCUCACCGAAGGCCAGAGACCAGGUCACCACAGGAAGUCAACCAACCUGCUUCAUUCCCCCUGAGACAUUUCAUCUUCAUCUUAAGGGAUUUUGGGCAAACGUCUCUUCUUCUGGAGCUACUUCCUGCUGAAGGCAAGUGUCAUUC